rnacentral:rRNA from 1 species
GUUGUAUAGAUGUGUGGAGCCGUGUGAGUACUAAGGGUGCAUGCGUUGUGCGGAUGUAUUGUGGGGAAAGUGUGGGUAGGGGGCGUGGGAGGUGAGCUGUGUAAACUCGAGGAGGAACCGCGUGACGUCGGUUGAAGCCACCGGGCUAUAGUCCGGAAGAGGAGAGUGGAAUUCCCGGUGUAGCGGUGAAAUGCGCAGAUAGCGGGAAGAACACCCGUGGCGAAGGCGGCUCUCUGGGACGGUACUGACGCUGAGACGCGAAAGCGUGGGGAGCGAACAGGAUUAGAUACCCGGGUAGUC